rnacentral:rRNA from 1 species
AAGGGUGAGUAACACGUGGGUAACCUGCCCUAAAGUGGGGGAUAACAUUUGGAAACAGAUGCUAAUACCGCAUAAAACCUAACACCGCAUGGUGUAGGGUUGAAAGAUGGUUUCGGCUAUCACUUUAGGAUGGACCCGCGGUGCAUUAGUUAGUUGGUGAGGUAAAGGCUCACCAAGACCGUGAUGCAUAGCCGACCUGAGAGGGUAAUCGGCCACACUGGGACUGAGACACGGCCCAGACUCCUACGGGAGGCAGCAGUAGGGAAUCUUCCACAAUGGACGAAAGUCUGAUGGAGCAACGCCGCGUGAGUGAAGAAGGUUUUCGGAUCGUAAAACUCUGUUGUUGGAGAAGAAUGUAUCUGAUAGUAACUGAUCAGGUAGUGACGGUAUCCAACCAGAAAGCCACGGCUAACUACGUGCCAGCAGCCGCGGUAAUACGUAGGUGGCAAGCGUUGUCCGGAUUUAUUGGGCGUAAAGCGAGCGCAGGCGGUUUCUUAAGUCUGAUGUGAAAGCCUUCGGCUCAACCGAAGAAGUGCAUCGGAAACUGGGAAACUUGAGUGCAGAAGAGGACAGUGGAACUCCAUGUGUAGCGGUGAAAUGCGUAGAUAUAUGGAAGAACACCAGUGGCGAAGGCGGCUGUCUGGUCUGUAACUGACGCUGAGGCUCGAAAGCAUGGGUAGCAAACAGGAUUAGAUACCCUGGUAGUCCAUGCCGUAAACGAUGAGUGCUAGGUGUUGGAGGGUUUCCGCCCUUCAGUGCCGCAGCUAACGCAUUAAGCACUCCGCCUGGGGAGUACG